rfam:Nicotiana attenuata strain TT chromosome 5, whole genome shotgun sequence.
UGGACAGAUUAUUGUAUUCGAUUGUAUUCACGGAAUGAAAUAGGGGAUUACACUGUUUUUAAACGGAAAGUGAAUCAAUUAACAUAAUAGACUCCU